UUAAUGUUAUCAAUUUCUGCAGACUGGCAAUUUCAUCCAUCUGUUUUUCUCCACUGUGGUCCUACACGUGCAGAGCUGCACUGUCAGUGCACCAUGCCACCAAACAACAGCAAUACUCAUCAGUGACAUGCUCAGAUGCAAGCAGACACCUGCAUUGCAAAAUGCAGCGCCCACAGCUCAGCUCAGGGAGGAGGCACGUGCACUGGAGCUUCUCACACACCCCACAUGCACACACCACCUGCUAAACACCGUGCCAUGAAGGAGCUGAUCACACACUGCUGAAUACAUCACUUGCUGCUUACAGCUUAUACACUAUCCUAAGAAGCAAAGAUAUAUGGAAUAAAAAUACUAGCAUAUGCUCAAGAA